CUUGGUCAUUUAGAGGAAGUAAAAGUCGUAACAAGGUCUCCGUUGGUGAACCAGCGGAGGGAUCAUUACCGAGUUUACAACUCCCAAACCCCUGUGAACAUACCUUAUGUUGCCUCGGCGGAUCAGCCCGCGCCCCGUAAAAAGGGACGGCCCGCCGCAGGAACCCUAAACUCUGUUUUUAGUGGAACUUCUGAGUAUAAAAAACAAAUAAAUCAAAACUUUCAACAACGGAUCUCUUGGUUCUGGCAUCGAUGAAGAACGCAGCAAAAUGCGAUAAGUAAUGUGAAUUGCAGAAUUCAGUGAAUCAUCGAAUCUUUGAACGCACAUUGCGCCCGCCAGUAUUCUGGCGGGCAUGCCUGUUCGAGCGUCAUUUCAACCCUCAAGCCCAGCUUGGUGUUGGGAGCUGCAGUCCUGCUGCACUCCCCAAAUACAUUGGCGGUCACGUCGAGCUUCCAUAGCGUAGUAAUUUACAUAUCGUUACUGGUAAUCGUCGCGGCCACGCCGUUAAACCCCAACUUCUGAAUGUUGACCUCGGAUCAGGUAGGAAUACCCGCUGAACUUAAGCAUAUCAAUAAGCGGAGGAA
rnacentral:sRNA from 1 species